GGCUUAGAGUUUGAUCAUGGCUCAGAUUGAACGCUGGCGGCAUGCUUUACACAUGCAAGUCGAACGGCAGCAUGGAGAGCUUGCUCUCUGAUGGCGAGUGGCGAACGGGUGAGUAAUACAUCGGAACGUGUCCUGUUGUGGGGGAUAACUACUCGAAAGAGUAGCUAAUACCGCAUAAGACCUAAGGGUGAAAGCGGGGGACCUUCGGGCCUCGCGCAGUUGGAGCGGCCGAUGACUGAUUAGCUAGUUGGUGGGGUAAAGGCCUACCAAGGCGACGAUCAGUAGCUGGUCUGAGAGGACGACCAGCCACAUUGGGACUGAGACACGGCCCAAACUCCUACGGGAGGCAGCAGUGGGGAAUUUUGGACAAUGGGGGCAACCCUGAUCCAGCCAUGCCGCGUGCGGGAAGAAGGCCUUCGGGUUGUAAACCGCUUUUGUUAGGAACGAAAAGGUAUCUGUGAACAACAGGUAUUGCUGACGGUACCUAAAGAAUAAGCACCGGCUAACUACGUGCCAGCAGCCGCGGUAAUACGUAGGGUGCGAGCGUUAAUCGGAAUUACUGGGCGUAAAGCGUGCGCAGGCGGUUGGGUAAGACAGGUGUGAAAUCCCCGAGCUUAACUUGGGAACUGCACUUGUGACUGCUCAACUAGAGUAUGUCAGAGGGAGGUGGAAUUCCAAGUGUAGCAGUGAAAUGCGUAGAUAUUUGGAAGAACACCGAUGGCGAACGCAGCCUCCUGGGAUAAUACUGACGCUCAUGCACGAAAGCGUGGGGAGCAAACAGGAUUAGAUACCCUGGUAGUCCACGCCCUAAACGAUGUCAACUAGUUGUUGGGCCGCAUGGCUUAGUACACAGCUACGCGAGAAGUGACG
rnacentral:rRNA from 1 species